GUUCUGAUUCUGUUCACCUCCAACUUCAUUGGGAUGUGCUUUAGCAGAUCUUUACAUUAUCAGUUUUAUGUCUGGUACUUCCAUACGCUUCCCUACCUGCUGUGGAGUGGAGGAGUCAAAAAGCUUGCUCACCUGCUCAGGGUGUUGAUUCUGGGUCUGGUCGAACUCUCCUGGAACACGUUUCCCUCCACCACCUACAGCUCUUUAUCGCUUCACGUCUGCCAUCUCAUCAUCCUGCUCUGCUUGUGGUUCAACCCGACUGCAGCUCCUCAGAACAAAGCUAAGCGCCAGUGACCAGGGCCCUCGCUGUGUGGGAUGAGGGUCGAUUGGAUCUCCGUCCACAAGACCCUUCUACCCUAGGUGCAAACAAGGGGCAUUGCAGGCAUCAUCUGUGGCCUCAGUCAGUACCAUGAGACUGAAAUCAGUGUGGUUUGUUAACAGUAUGUGUACAGGUAUGCGAUGGACAGAGUGUUUACAUUCGUUCUCAGGAUUGUUAAGGCUUAAUGCUCAGUCCAGGAUGUAGGGAUUUGUGGAUGAAAAGGACAUUUUAUAAAAGAAUCAGUUUGUUACACCGGAUGUCAGCGCAGGUCUCUGGUUGUCGGCUAAUGAGCGCAUCGUAUUCAGGACUGUUGGUAUAAGAGCCUAUGAUGUUACUGUGAUAUUAAGCUUCUUUCUAAAUUACAUCUUAUUGAUUUUGAUUUAUUCAGGGAUUUGUUUUAUUUCCAAUUGUGACUAUAAGCUUUACAAGAUCGCCAUGAUAACAUGUAUAGGGCACAAAGGAAUAGCAUUGAUCUGCUUUCCAUUUCUUUAGCGUUUGAGACAAUGAACUUCUUCAAUGACGUUCUUCGCUUAGCUCAUGCAUUUGUUUACUGCCUUUGCUUUUUCUUGUCUUUUGUGUUGUUUUUCCUUUUCUAGUUGGAAGAAGGAAAUAGAAGGAAUAGAUCAUUUUUGGGGUGCAUUUUUUUUAUUUUAUUUUAUGAGAGUGUUGAAGACUGAUCUUAAGCGUUUGGGGUUGGCUUUUUAUUUUUGCAUGAUACCAAACGUGUGAUAACUGUAACAAAACAGCUGUUGUCCAUAGUAUUUCAGACUAAUUGAACAAUUGAACUGAGAAUUGAUUGAUUCUUUAUUUACUAUAAUAUGAUCCUCUGCAUUAAACGCUGUGUUGUUUUACACAUUCA